CGCCUUUUUCAAACGCGGAAAUUGUAUAAUUUCCCUGGACAAUAUUUAGGACCGUUUUCAGCAAAGAAGAAUUCAUAGAAAUUAUUAGAGACAGAACAGUAACUUAGGAAAGGGACAGAUCAGUAACUUAAGAAAGAAAGAUUUAAGGAUAAAAGUAAUAGCUGUCAAGGAAGAGUAAUGGAGGCCUACACAAAGAUAACAGAAGCUGAAUUAAAGAAGGAUUGUGCACCAGAAAUGGUUGGAGGAGUUUAGAGACUACAAUUCAUUUUCACGAAAAUAAUUAAAAUUGAUUAAGA